rfam:Glycine soja cultivar W05 scaffold1888_67, whole genome shotgun sequence.
GAUCAGGUAAGAGAGCUCUCUUCAGCCCACUCAUAGGUGAUAAUAGGAUUUAAUUAGCUGCCGACUCAUUCAUACACAUGCUGAGUGAAUUAAUGAAUAAUACUCAGUAAAUGAGUGAAUGAUACGGGAGACAAAUUGAAUCUUAUGUUUUCUGUACUUGGACUGAAGGGAGCUCCCUUUUCUCGCUCG